rnacentral:rRNA from 1 species
UACGUAGGGCGCAAGCGUUGUCCGGAAUUAUUGGGCGUAAAGAGCUCGUAGGCGGCCUGUUGCGUCCGCUGUGAAAUCCCGGGGCUCAACCCCGGGCCUGCAGUCGAUACGGGCAGACUAGAGUGCGGUAGGGGAGACUGGAAUUCCUGGUGUAGCGGUGGAAUGCGCAGAUAUCAGGAGGAACACCGGUGGCGAAGGCGGGUCUCUGGGCCGUAACUGACGCUGAGGAGCGAAAGCGUGGGGAGCGAACAGG